rnacentral:rRNA from 1 species
UACGUAGGGUGCGAGCGUUGUCCGGAUUUAUUGGGCGUAAAGAGCUCGUAGGCGGCUUGUUGCGUCGACUGUGAAAACCCGCGGCUUAACUGCGGGCUUGCAGUUGAUACGGGCAGGCUAGAGUUCGGUAGGGGAGACUGGAAUUCCUGGUGUAGCGGUGAAAUGCGCAGAUAUCAGGAGGAACACCGGUGGCGAAGGCGGGUCUCUGGGCCGAUACUGACGCUGAGGAGCGAAAGCAUGGGGAGCGAACAGG